CGCAACCUGAUGCUCGCGAGUCACGACAGAACAGAUCCAGUGUGAGUCCCGAAGUUACAAACAAACAGUUUACACAAUAACACUUCAUUAAACUACACCAUUUUCACAUGAUGAGGAUCACAGCAUUCACUCACAACCAAUUUCAUUAUUGAUUAGAUUAGUUGUUGCAGCUCUAAAAAUAAAUAAUAAACUCAGUGUUUCAAAGAGAAUAAAAUCCCAUACAGUUUGGAAAGUCACUGUUCCAGCAGUCGUACAGUCGCUCUAUUAAACAUUACUCUACUAUUGAACAUCAGGUAGCUGCUAAGUGUCUCCAUCAACACUUUAAUCUCGUAAGGAGCGCGAGACUGAGAAGAACCACCACACCCAGAGUCUAAACACUUGUCCCUCUAAGAAGUUGGACGCCGACCGCGAGGGGCCGCGUAACUAUUUAGCAUGCCGGAGUCUCGAUCGUUAUCGGAUUUAACCAG